GGCCGCGGGAAUUCGAUUUCUGGUUGAUCCUGCCAGACCCGACUGCUAUCAGAGUGGGACUAAGCCAUGCGAGUCAACGUAGCAAUGCGUGGCGAACGGCUCAGUAACACGUAGUCAACAUGCCCAGGGGACGUGGAUAACCUCGGGAAACUGAGAUUAAACCGCGAUAGGUCAAGAUUUCUGGAAUGGAUCGUGUCUUAAACCUACAUGGCCCCUGGAUUGGACUGCGGCCGAUCAGGCUGUUGGUGAGGUAAUGGCCCACCAAACCUAUAACCGGUACGGGCUCUGAGAGGAGAAGCCCGGAGAUGGGCACUGAGACAAGGGCCCAGGCCCUAUGGGGCGCAGCAGGCGCGAAACCUCUGCAAUGGGCGAAAGCCUGACAGGGUUACUCUGAGUGAUUUCCGCUAAGGAGAUCUUUUGGCAGCUCUAAAAAUGGUGCAGAAUAAGGGGUGGGCAAGUCUGGUGUCAGCCGCCGCGGUAAUACCAGCACCCCGAGUGGUCGGGACGAUUAUUGGGCCUAAAGCAUCCGUAGCCGGUCAUGCAAGUCUUCCGUUAAAUCCAGCCGCUCAACGGAUGGGCUGCGGAGGAUACUACAGGACUAGGAGGCGGGAGAGGCACGCGGUACUUAGUGGGUAGGGGUAAAAUCCUUUGAUCCAUUGAAGACCACCAGUGGCGAAGGCGGCUUGCCAGAACGCGCUCGACGGUGAGGGAUGAAAGCUGGGGGAGCAAACCGGAUUAGAUACCCGGGUAGUCCCAGCUGUAAACGAUGCAGACUCGGUGAUGGGAUGGCCUCGAGCUAUCCCAGUGCCGCAGGGAAGCCGUUAAGUCUGCCGCCUGGGGAGUACGGUCGCAAGACUGAAACUUAAAGGAAUUGGCGGGGGAGCACCACAAGGGGUGAAGCCUGCGGUUCAAUUGGAUUCAACGCCGGAAAUCACUAGUGAAUUC
rnacentral:rRNA from 1 species